GUGACCGGGAUGAGCUCAAAUUUGAAAUCUGGCGUCUUUCAGGCGUCCGAGUUGUAAUCUAUAGAGGCGUUUUCCGCGCCGGACCGCGUCCAAGUCUCUUGGAAUAGAGUAUCAAAGAGGGUGACAAUCCCGUACUUGACGCGACAACCGGUGCUCUGUGAUACGUUCUCAAUGAGUCGAGUUGUUUGGGAAUGCAGCUCUAAAUGGGUGGUAAAUUCCAUCUAAGGCUAAAUAUUGGCGAGAGACCGAUAGCGAACAAGUACCGUGAGGGAAAGAUGAAAAGCACUUUGGAAAGAGAGUUAAACAGCACGUGAAAUUGUUAAAAGGGAAACGAUUGAAGUCAGUCGUGUGGGAAGUAUUCAGCCGUCUCUGGCGGUGUAUUUGCUUCUCACGGGUCAACAUCAGUUUGAUCCGGUAGAAAAAGGCGGGAAGAAGGUGGCACCCUCGGGUGUGUUAUAGCUUCCUGUCAUAUGUGCCGGACCAGACUGAGGAACGCAGCUUGCAGCAAUGCCGGGGUUCGCCCACGUACAAGCUUAGGAUGUUGACAUAAUGGCUUUAAACGACCCGUCUUGAAMCACGGACCA
rnacentral:rRNA from 1 species